rnacentral:rRNA from 1 species
GGAUUAGAUACCCUAUUAUUGUAAAUAUAAAUUUUUAAACUUAGGUAGUAAUAGUUAUGAUCUUGAAACUUAAAGAAUUUGGCGGUAUUUUAGUCUGUUUAGAGGAAUCUGUCCCAUAAUCGAUAGUCCGCGUUGAAUCUUACUUAAUUUAUAAGGUAUGUAUACCGCCGUUUAUUGAAUAUUUUUUUAGGAUAAUAUUUUCUUAAAAUGUAUAAUAUAAUGAUUUUACUUCAGGUCAAGGUGCAGCUUAUAAUUAAGGGGAGAUGGAUUACAAUAUUUUAAGGUAAACGGAUUAUGAUUUUGUAAUGAAUUAUUUGAAGGUGGAUUUAAUAGUAAUUUUUUGUAGAUUGUAAAUAUGAUUUAGGCUCUAAAAUAUGUACACAUCGCCCGUCACUCUCGUUAAAAUUUUAAAGUGAGAUAAGUC